UUAGGCGAUCUGUGUCAAAUUUUACACAGAUCUGUGUUAUAUGGAUUUUGCGUGUAUAGAUAAGAGAGUAGGCUUAGAAAAAAUCAAAGUAAAGUUGUCUGUCAAUUUGAGAAAAUCGUGAUAAUGCGUACGGAAAUGGCGACUGCGUCUGCGACAUCGUCCGGAAUGGCCGGAACGACGACGUUGGCUGGCUAAUCCGAGUGUGGACGAAGCAACUGUUGAAGUGACGGAGUUGUCGGUGCGGAAAUGCGACGGCUACCCCGGGACCUACUGUGGACAGCGGUGUCCGUGCUAUGUCAUUUCCAAGUCCUGUUUGGACUCGGUGGAGUGUCGGAGAUGUUGGAACCUGCGUCAGGUCGAUGGUAGGAAGGUCCGCCCUCACAUUCCCGGUAAACCCGGUAGUCGGUUCCGGCCUGGGAGGUGUCCAAAAUCUACAACAAGCUUACUUACAAAAAAAAAAUACAAAUUGAAUGUGAUGUGAACUGGAAGAGAACAAAAUUUAAACGAAAUAUAAAAAAACUAAC